rnacentral:rRNA from 1 species
AGUGAACGCUGGCGGUAGGCCUAACACAUGCAAGUCGAACGGCAGCACAGUAAGAGCUUGCUCUUACGGGUGGCGAGUGGCGGACGGGUGAGGAAUACAUCGGAAUCUACUUUUUCGUGGGGGAUAACGUAGGGAAACUUACGCUAAUACCGCAUACGACCUACGGGUGUAAGGAGGGGAUCUUCGGACCUUGCGCGAUUGAAUGAGCCGAUGUCGGAUUAGCUAGUUGGCGGGGUAAAGGCCCACCAAGGCGACGAUCCGUAGCUGGUCUGAGAGGAUGAUAAGCCACACUGGAACUGAGACACGGUCCAGACUCCUACGGGAGGCAGCAGUGGGGAAUAUUGGACAAAGGGCGCAAGCCUGAUCCAGCCAUACCGCGUGGGUGAAGAAGGCCUUCGGGUUGUAAAGCCCUUUUGUUGGGAAAGAAAAGCAGCAGGUUAAUACCCCGCUGUUCUGACGGUACCCAAAGAAUAAGCACCGGCUAACUUCGUG